rnacentral:rRNA from 1 species
AGCGGACGCUGGCGGCAGGCCUAACACAUGCGAGUCGAACGAACCUUUCGGGGUUAGUGGCGGACGGGUGAGUAACACGUGGGAACGUGCCUUUAGGUUCGGAAUAACUCAGGGAAACUUGUGCUAAUACCGAAUGUGCCCUUCGGGGGAAAGAUUUAUCGCCUUUAGAGCGGCCCGCGUCUGAUUAGCUAGUUGGUUGAGGUAAUGGCUCACCAAGGCGACGAUCAGUAGCUGGUCUGAGAGGAUGAUCAGCCACAUUGGGACUGAGACACGGCCCAAACUCCUACGGGAGGCAGCAGUGGGGAAUCUUGCGCAAUGGGCGAAAGCCUGACGCAGCCAUGCCGCGUGAAUGAUGAAGGUCUUAGGAUUGUAAAAUUCUUUCACCGGGGACGAUAAUGACGGUACCCGGAGAAGAAGCCCCGGCUAACUUCGUG